rnacentral:tRNA from 1 species
GGAGAGGUGGCAGAGUGGCCGAAUGCGGUAGCUUGCUAAGCUAUUGAGCCAUUUUUUGGCUCCGAGGGUUCAAAUCCCUCCCUCUCCGCCA